rnacentral:rRNA from 1 species
AAUAGAUACCCGGGUAGUCCAUGCCGUAAACGUUGGGCACUAGGUGUGGGGCCAGUUCCACUGGUUCUGUGCCGUAACUAACGCAUUAAGUGCCCCGCCUGGGGAGUACGGCCGCAAGGCUAAAACUCAAAGGAAUUGACGGGGGCCCGCACAAGCGGCGGAGCAUGCGGAUUAAUUCGAUGCAACGCGAAGAACCUUACCAAGGCUUGACAUGUACGAGAACGCCCCAGAGAUGGGGUUCUCUUUGGACACUCGUACACAGGUGGUGCAUGGUUGUCGUCAGCUCGUGUCGUGAGAUGUUGGGUUAAGUCCCGCAACGAGCGCAACCCUUGUCUCAUGUUGCCAGCGGGUUAUGCCGGGGACUCAUGGGAGACUGCCGGGGUCAACGUCGGAGGAAGGUGGGGAUGACGUCAAAUCAUCAUGCCCCUUAUGUCUUGGGCUUCACGCAUGCUACAAUGGCCGGUACAGAGGGCUGCGAUACCGGUGAGGUGGAGCGAAUCCCCAAAAAGCCGGUCUCAGUUCGGAUCGGGGUCUGCAACG